rnacentral:rRNA from 1 species
GAUGAACGCUGGCGGCGUGCCUAAUACAUGCCAGUCGAGCGAACGGACGAGAAGCUUGCUUCUCUGAUGUUAGCGGCGGACGGGUGAGUAACACGUGGAUAACCUACCUAUAAGACUGGGAUAACUUCGGGAAACCGGAGCUAAUACCGGAUAAUAUUUUGAACCGCAUGGUUCAAAAGUGAAAGACGGUCUUGCUGUCACUUAUAGAUGGAUCCGCGCUGCAUUAGCUAGUUGGUAAGGUAACGGCUUACCAAGGCAACGAUGCAUAGCCGACCUGAGAGGGUGAUCGGCCACACUGGAACUGAGACACGGUCCAGACUCCUACGGGAGGCGGCAGUAGGGAAUCUUCCGCAAUGGGCGAAAGCCUGACGGAGCAACGCCGCGUGAGUGAUGAAGGUCUUCGGAUCGUAAAACUCUGUUAUUAGGGAAGAACAUAUGUGUAAGUAACUGUGCACAUCUUGACGGUACCUAAUCAGAAAGCCACGGCUAACUACGUG